rnacentral:rRNA from 1 species
AUUGAACGCUGGCGGCAGGCCUAACACAUGCAAGUCGAGCGGAGCGGCGGACGGGUGAGUAAUGCCUAGGAAUCUGCCUGGUAGUGGGGGAUAACGUCCGGGAACGGGCGCUAAUACCGCAUACUAUCAGAUGAGCCUAGGUCGGAUUAGCUAGUUGGUGGGGUAAAGGCCUACCAAGGCGACGAUCGGUAGCUGGUCUGAGAGGAUGAUCCGUCACACUGGAACUGAGACACGGCCCAGACUCCUACGGGAGGCAGCAGUGGGGAAUAUUGGACAAUGGGCGAAAGCCUGACCCAGCCAUGCCGCGUGUGUGAAGAAGGUCUUCGGAUUGUAAAGCACUGUAAGUAGAGAGGCGGUACCAACAGAGUAAGCACCGGCUAACUACGUGCCAGCAGCCGCGGUAAUUC